rnacentral:rRNA from 1 species
CAAGCAUUGAGGCAGUCAAAGUAGGCAAAUCCGCUUUGAUAAUGCUGGGAUGUGAUGGGGAGCGAAAUUUAGUAGCGAAGUAGCUGAUUUCACACUGUCAAGAAAAGUCUCUAUCGAGGUUAAAGGUACCCGUACCGCAAACCGACACAGGUGGGUGAGGAGAGUAUCCUAAGGCCAGCGAGAGAACUGUUGUUAAGGAACUCGGCAAAAUGACCCCGUAACUUAGGGAUAAGGGGUGCCACCAUCAGGUGGCCGCAGAGAAUAGGCCCAAGCGACUGUUUACCAAAAACAUAGGUUUCUGCUAAGUCGCAA